rnacentral:lncRNA from 1 species
CCAGGUGCCGGCUAUCCCGCGGCUCCCCCUGUUGGUUAAGGGCGCCCCCAGCAGCCUCCGUCCCCUCUGGAACCCUAGCCCCCAAAUCCCACAUCUCCCUCUCCCUCGCCCACUCUCUUCGCCCCGCGCGGGAUCGCCGCGUCACCACCGCUGCGUCGUCGUCACCACGACCAACGAGCUCUCCGCCGCGGGAGAACCUACCAGGAGCCCCGCGUCGUUCGUCCACACCGUCCUCGCUCGCAAGCCCGAGCCGCGGAGGUCGUCAUCGCCCGAUCGGGCAUCUUCCCCUGUUUCGGUCGCCGCCGUCCCGCCGCGUGGAGCCUCCCCGAGAAUACCAUCCGCCCCCUGGUGAGCUCCUCUCCCCAUCCCCCUCUUUUACUUGCUCGAUCCGUCACCGUAUCGUCGUCCUCGCAAGCCUGGCCGCCAUGGCCGACGCUUUGCGUCCGAGAGCAAGCCCGCCUGCCCAUCCCCGCGCCUUUGCUCCUCGCAGUGCGCCCAUAGCAGCUCCUCAUCGCGCCUUGCCUUGCGCUCGGCUGUGCCUCCACGCACGCGUCCGCCCCCGUGUUGCCGUGCUCCCGGCCGCCCCUGCGAGCCGCCACAGCCUGCUCCUGCGCUGCUGCUGCUACUUACUUCUCUACUUGUUGUUGCUAUGCGUUGCUACUAGCUCGGCUGCUGCAUCCUACUACUGUCGCUGCUUACUGUACUUUGUAGUUACUAGCUAGCUUCUCUAGUUUUACAAUGACUAACACUUUAGACAGUUCCUAAACGAUGGCUAACCAACUACUAACUUGGGCAAAAAUAAUAUGAGUAGAAAGUUUGCAUGACGAACUCCAUUUUAUUCCACUGGACCAAAUCCCUUCGAUGCCUGGAUUAAAUCCUAUCAAAAUCGCAAAAUGCUCUUUUUUGUUAAAAGGAAAUAGAAGUAACUCCUAGCUAGGUGCUCUGUGUGUGUAUUUUGUAGGUGUGUGUGAUGUAUGUACAGCGUGUGUGUGGCCGGUGUGCCCAUGUGUGUAGGGCUGCCCCAAAGCAGCGUGUGUGUGUGUGCUGUGUAGGUGUGUGUGUGUGUGAUAUUUGUGCAGCGUGUGAGUGUGUGUGGCCGAUGUGCCAUGUGUGUGGGGCUGCCCCAAAAUUAGUUUAGGUCUAGUUUAAUUAGAUGGAUUAGUUUCAGGAUUAUUUUUGCUUCUUAGCUAGUUUUAUUAGUGCUAAGUUACUCUAGUAGUAGAUGACAUGUAGGCCCUCUUUUUAAAUAAGUUAGGUUUAGAGUCUAUGACAUGUGGGCCACACAUCCCCUUUUGACUAGUCAAAUUGACUUAGUCAACCCGAAUUAGAAUAAUAUGUUAAUUCUAGAAAAUAAAUUAAACUUUAAAAAUCAAUAUAAAAUAAUCCGUAACUCGGAUGAAAAUACCAUGUACAUGAAAGUUGCUGAGAACGACGAGACGAAUUCAAAUACGCAGUCCGUUCGUUCGCCACACAUCCCUAGCAUAGCGAACACGCAACUUUCUCCCUCCGGUUCAUCUGCCCGAAAACGCGAAACACCGAGGAUACUUUCCCGGAUGUUUCCCCCCUUCGCUGGUAUCACAUAUCCUUGCGUUACGUCACCCUUAGCACAACGUAUUGCCGCGUCUUGCUUUGUGUUACAUUUGAUUGCUCUGUUAUUUAUUGUGUUCCCCCUCCGUUACUUCUUUUCGGUAGGCUUCGAGACCGUUGCCGAUACCCCUGUGAUCGGCUACAUCGACGAUGACCCCUCUCUCUUGUCAGAGCAACCAGGCAAGCCCCCUCUUUGAUCACCAGAUAUCGCCUACUCUUCUCUCUACUACUUGCAUUAGAGUAGUGUAGCAUGUUAUUGCUUUCCGUUAAUCCUAUUCUGAUGCAUAGCAUGUCUUUACUACUACUGUUGUUACCUUUACCUGCUAUCCUAAUGCUUAGUAUAGGAUGCUAGUGUUCCAUCAGUGGCCCUACAUUCUUGCUCGUCUGCCAUGCUAUACUACUGGGUCGUGAUCACUUCGGGAGGUGAUCACGGGCAUAUUCGAUAUACUUUAUACUGUUAAAUUACUUAUGAUACUGUUCGGAGUUAGGGGCUGAAGGGGCAGGUGGCUCCAUCCCGGUAGAGGUGGGCCUGAGUUCCCGACGGCCCCGACUGUUACUUUGUGGCGGAGCGACAGGGAAGUUGAGACCACCUAGGAGAGAGGUGGGCCUGACCCUGGUCGGCGUUCGCGGUUAUUUCAAGAUAACACAUUUAACGAGAUCUUGGUAUUUGAUCUGAGUCUGUCCACUGGCCUAUACGCACUAACCAUCUACGCGGGAACAAUUAUGGGCACUCGACGUCGUGGUAUCAGCCGAAGCCUUCGUGACGUCAGCGACUGAGCGGCGCGCGCCGGAUUGAACUGGAACGCCUGCUAGGCUAGGUCUGCUUCCGCCGCGUUCGCAACGUGCAGGUGUGCAAUGGGCGAUGGGCCCAGACCCAUGCGCCAUAGGAUUUAGACCGGCAUGUUGACCUCUCUGUUGUGCCUAGGUAGAGUUGCGACGUGUUGAUCUUCCGAGGCCAGGCAUGACCCAGAAAAGUGUGUCCGGCCAAAUGGGAUCGAGCGUGUCGGGUUAUGUGGUGCACCCCUACAGGGAAGUUAAUCUAUUCGAAUAGCCGUGAUCUUCGGUAACAGGACGACUUGAAGUUGUACCUUGACCUUAUGACAACUAGAACCAGAUACUUAAUAAAACACAUCCUUCCAAGUGCCAGAUACAACCGGUGAUCGCUCUCACAGGGCGGCGAAGGGAGGGUCAUCGGUUAGGAUUAUGCUAUGCGAUGCUACUUGGUGAACUUACCAUCUACUCUCUUCUCCUGCUACAAGAUGGAGGUUACCAGAAGCGUAGUCUUUGAUAGGACUAGCUAUCCCCCUCUUAUUCCGGCAUUAUGCAGUUCAGUCCACAUAUGAUACCCCUUUUUCCAUUUGAUACCAAUGCAUACAUAUGUAGUGUAGCUCCUUGCUUGUGAGUACUUUGGAUGAGUACUCACGGUUGCUUUGCUCCCCCUUUCCCCCCUUUCUGUACCCGGUUGUUGCGACCAGAUGAUGGAGUCCAGGAGCCAGAGGAUCCCGAGGAUGAUUCUACGUGGAGUUCGACUUCCAGGAGUAGUUUAGGAGGAUCCCAGGCAGGAGGCCUGCGCCUCUUUCGAUCUGUAUCCCAGUUUGUGCUAGCCUUUUUAAGGCAAACUUGUUUAACUUAUGUCUGUACUCAGAUAUUGUUGCUUCCGCUGACUCGUCUAUGAUCGAGCUCUUGUAUUCGAGCCCUCGAGGCCCCUGGCUUGUAAUAUGAUGCUUGUAUAACUUAUUUUAUUUGUAGAGUUGUGUUGUGAUAUCUUCUCGUGAGUCCUUGAUCUUGAUCGUACAUGUUUGCGUGUAUGAUUAGUGUAUGGUCAAAUCGGGGGCGUCACAAGUUGGUAUCAGAGCCGACUGCCUGUACGAAUCCCUCUUCCACACUCCUUUGCGAAAGUUGAGUCUAGUCGUUACAAAACUUUUACUAACAUGGCUGUGCGCCUUACGGGCCCACGUCGCCAUUGGGUGGUAUUAGGAUCUUUUACUCCUUGUCUAUACUCUGGGACUCUGAUCUCUCUUCUAUUCGGGUUAAAUGAAUUUUGCUAAAUCUAACAUUAGGAGCUCGUCAUCACUUUCACCCGGAGAGCCUUUUAUUACUGAUGAUCGUCUGCUGCACGUGAAGACCCUGAAGAUACGCUUCGCUGUUAACCCGAGAACUUGUGUUCAUCGCGUUUGCAAUUCCCCUUUCACCGUCAACCCUUAUGGAUAACUACUUGCAGUUGUUAUUCUUACAUUCAUCCCCAGUUGGUCUUGUUAUUACAAGAUACCCCGAAAUACUCGUCGUUGUUUUGAUAAUCCUUUGAGCUUACUGCCUUGCUGUUCUUUGUCACCUGAAUAACCCUAUGGAUAAUUCUCGCACUUAUCGAGUAUCCGCUCACCCCCAGUUGUUCAUGUGUUUCACAAUGGUCUUCGAAAUACUAUUCGGUCCUCCAAGAAUCCUUAGUAGCUUAUUGCUCUGCAAUACUUGUCUGCUUGCAUUUUGGAUGCUUUCCAUAUGUCUGGCAAUAUUUGUUAGUAUCCUUAGACACCGUAAUUUUGAUCCUAAUGAUUCAACAUGAGUGCGAAUGCACGCAAUUAUCAGUUGAUCCUUUUAAAUUAUCUUUCUGGCUCAGACAUCGUUUUUGAACAUGAGCUUGUUCUUGACCAAUCUGUUUGCCGUCAAUUGUACCCUUAGGUCUAUUGAACUUAUCCACCCUUGAUCAGAGCGUCUACUUCUGAUCCUUCUAUUUGGGAAUCAUAAUUCCUUUGAUAACUAAGCAUCAAAUCAUUCAGGUGUUCUAUAAUCUGAGGCCCUUGCAUCCUAUCUUCAACUGAUUGUGUGCCGAUGCUCACAUCAGCUCUGCUAUGGACCGUCAGAUCCUUUAUUGGUUUACCAUUCAAAAGUGUCAUCCUUAUUCAAUAAGCUUGUGAGCCUUUCCUCGGAUACAUAAUGCUUUUGGUGAAUUGUAUCCUCUGUUUUCUUAACCAUGCUCUGUUUUCGAGCUGGUGGUAUUUACGAUUGAAGCUUGUGGUAUAUGAUUCCACGAUACCCUGACGGGUUGAACCUAUGCGUUUCUUAAUCUGUGUGAACCCGAAAGUUUUUCACGGGUCAUGCUCCUCUGGUAAUUCACCAGGUAGGUUUUUGACACUGAAAUCAUUUUUAACUAGAGCAGUGAAUGAAAGUUAUUGCAUUGAAGGAGUGGGAGUCGAUCUUGAACCUUGCGUUCAUGCCCAUGGACACGAUGUAGAUCUUAUCAUUAAAGCUUCUCUUAAAUUAAUUAUUCCUUUGGUAUAAGUUCAUCUUAUAUCUGGGAUCUGACCUUUUGCAAUCGUGGUUUCGACCAUGUUCUCCUUUAAAUACCAUUUCUCGUGCAAAUUUAAGCACUUGUCUUCUGCGGAGUAAUACCCUAGUCCAACCUCUACUUUGAUUUGUCGUCGAGUAUUACCCCCCUGGUAUCUCAAGAUUAUUAUGGAACUGCAUAACUUCUUAUGAGUUCUUCAUCAAGUGCUACAUUCUCAUUGAUUCCAAUUUUUCAUAGGUUCUGAGUUGUUAGUCGUUCAAGAACACCGGUAAGUGAACCGAUUCCGCACUCUGGUUCGAUAACUCUAAGUAAGCUUCAUUGCUUAUGAGUUUAAUAAUCCUUCAAGUCAUUCCAAGCCUGAUCGGCUAUAUCAUUAUCGUGCUAAAUUUUAACUGUGCUACCCGGUCCUUAAUCCCGGAGCACAACUUUCGAUAUGAGCUAAGCUUACGUCGACUUUCCACGUUAGAUCUUUUUGCCUUGAACAACAAGCUGGAUUCCGAGUUUGUGGCGUACUCGUGGUUCCAAUAACUUUUUGCUUCAUCAUUCCUUUGACUUGAUGUCAUCGCCGACCGAUUACAUCUCCAUGAAACCUCUCGACAGAAUUUUUCAUGAUCAUCAUCACCAUUCUUUUCUUGGUCCCCGUGUUGUUUCUAAUCAGAAUACCGACAAAUGGUCUGUGAUGUGUAAAUUCUAAACUUCUAGCAACCCUAUUGCUUUGAAGUUAUUGGUCUAUAGUUUCAUGCUACGUCUAUGGCUUAUUGAAUCAUCAUUCGAACAUUGAUCGUGCUACCUAGCCCAUAUUUCGGGUGCGCAUUUCAACCAAUGUUUAACUGUGUAUGUUUUCCUUGAGCAUACAUCAUUAAGUCAUUUGAUCUAGCUUAUGUUAUCUCCUUGUUCACAUAGUUGUGGAAAUCCAUCUUUUUGGAAAUCUCAAUGGAUUGUCGCUGAGUCAAUCAGUCACCUCCUCACCUCUCCUUGAUUUAAUGGUGAACCCUUGUUCGGAACUCGCUUCCAUAGUUCAUUUCCCGACAACCUUACAAUGUCAUCUCGACAAUUUGUGUUGCAUCUUUCUUCUCAAGCAUCCUAAGUCUGAGUUAUCCUGACACCAAUCAGAUCUGAAUCUCGGUCAGAUAUGAUGGUUGGAACAUAUUUCCAGGAGUUAUAACAUCUUUAUAUGACCCGGUAAGGUGAUGUCAUGCCUAGCACACCUGGCCGGAGGACUUAUGGUUAUAGUUCAUCCUUUUUAGCAAGGUUAUCCAUUCUUCCCUGAGGAAAUUGUAAGGCUUAUUCUACAAGUUGUUCCUGAUGGAUCCCUUGAGUAUCCAAAAUCCGACCUUUGCCUGUUGACCAUGUCCAUGCUAUCUCGAAGCAUGUCUGUGGUACUCCGAUUUUCAAUAAGAGCAUUUUAAGCACAAUGCUAAAUUCUCUUUAUCAAUUAUCCAAACACCGUUGUAUGGGUAAUCUCAUGAAAUUUCUCUCCCCUUUCCUAAAGGGUUUUCUACGUUAUAUCCUGUCAUGGCUAUCAUGCUCUGUUUGUCCUUGGGAAGGAUAUACCCCCUGAAAUUUGUGUUUAAACACAUUUUCCUUUCCAUUGUUCUGUUUAAUAUGAGGAUCACCUUUUCCUUUCCAUUGUUUUGUUUACCCUUUCUGAUGACCUAUAUGAUCUAAGCAGUAAUGUUCUUUUGUUUAUGUAAACACCUUGGUGUACAACCGUGUCAGUAAGACCCUGUUGCUUUUGUUGAUAGCAUUCCGGUAACCACCGAUGGACGAGAACUUUGCCUAAUGGUCCGCCUCGUUCAAUGAGCAGGAAAAUGGUUCUCUUCGUCCCUCGCCCUUGGUAUCGACAUUGUUGCCAACAUAACUGAUAGGCUACCCUCUGACAUGUCUUGCUAUCAUGACCGUGCAAGAUGUCAAUAUCCUUCCUACUUUUAACCACAUGGUGGGCCCAUAACCCAUAGUUCCACAUGAUCGAAACCUAACUCUCAUGUACAUCCCUGUUUCGAAGUUAUCCCUUGCACUUCGUUUCGUAUGUAAUUCGCGAGCCACCCUCCUAGUGAUCAAUUCUGGUAUCGGACACAAUACUUAUUCUCGUUGCUCUGAACCCCUUUCACACUCUGAUUCAGGCAAUAAACGAUUGCCUAUCCGCUCGAAACUUCUUAUUGCACCGUCUUACUUGCUCUCGAUGUUUUCUUAAGUUGCAAUUCGAGAGUUACUUUCCGCCACCUUCCCUGGUGUUAUCUACCGGCUAAGCAACCUUGUAGAGGCAUGUUCUUCCGAAGUUACCCCUUAGCAUUAUCGUAAGUACGGCGGAGUUCCUGAAGAAAGGACGACAACCUCAUCAUGAUGCAUUGAUGCAUAGGAAUGAAGACAUCAGCACUAUGGAUCGACCACUUCGAGAAGAGCAACCAAGACCGAGAAGAUCUGUUAGCAUUUCGUAACUAGACCUUCCCCCCCCCCCUUCUCAACCUCUUAAAUCUCGGGACGAGAUUUCUUGUAGUGGAGGAGAAUUGUGACGCCCGGAUAAUUUAGCUACAGUGACCCUCCACUAAUGAUGCCAAGUCAUCACUACUAUGCCCUAAGAAAAACAAUUCAGAAAUAUUUCAAACCAAAUUCAAAUUUAAAGUAAAGUCAAACAAUAAAUAUUUUCCAAAUGUCAAAACAAAAAUGUUCGCGUUAUUCUAUAAAUUCCUCUGAUCAUUGAAAUGUUGAAACCAACUUCAUCUGGGUCACAAAUAAAUUCUUAGGAAAUUAAUAAGUGGUCCAGCAGCAAAUAAAAUGGUCUUUUCAAAAUAAACGAUUAUUCAUACAAUUCAAGUUGACCUCAAACUUUGUGAGUCUCUUCAAAAUAUUGCAUAGAAUUUAGGUGCCAAUUUGUAACAUUUAACAAAAAUCACUUAGUUGCUAAAUUUAAUAAAAGUAAAGAAUAAAAUAGAAAAAUAGAAUACAAAACCUAACUACUGUUGGGCUGGACCUCAAGUGUGCAGGAGCAGGCCCAGUCCAACUGGGGUCAUCCCCAAUCUCGCUAUAGGAGCAGGGAGCCGUGGCGGGCAUCCAUGGCGCCCCAGCCAGGUGUCGGCUAUCCCGCGGCUCCCCCUGUUGGUUAAGGGCGCCCCCAGCAGGCUCCGUCCCCUCUGGAACCCUAGCCCCCAAAUCCCCCAUCUCCCUCUCCCUCGCCCGCUCUCUUCGCCCCGCGCGGGAUCGCCGCGUCACCACCGCUGCGUCGUCGUCACCACGACCAACGAGCUCUCCGCCGCGGGAGAACCUACCAGGAGCCCCGCGUCGUUCGUCCACACCGUCCUCGCCCGCAAGCUCGAGCCGCGGAGGUCGUCAUCGCCCGAUCGGGCAUCUUCCCCUGUUUCGGUCGCUGCCGUCUCGCCGCGUCGUUCAGCUCCUCCGGUCCUCCCCGAGCCUCUCCGGCCUGUCCCCGGCCUCCCCGAGAAUACCAUCCGCCCCCUGGUGAGCUCCUCUCCCCAUCCCCCUCUUUUACUUGCUCGAUCCGUCACCGUAUUGUCGUCCUCGCAAGCCUGGCCGCCAUGGCC